rnacentral:rRNA from 1 species
GACGAACGCUGGCGGCGUGCUUAACACAUGCAAGUCGAACGGAAAGGCCCUGCUUUUGUGGGGUGCUCGAGUGGCGAACGGGUGAGUAACACGUGAGUAACCUGCCCUUGACUUUGGGAUAACUUCAGGAAACUGGGGCUAAUACCGGAUAGGAGCUCCUGCUGCAUGGUGGGGGUUGGAAAGUUUCGGCGGUUGGGGAUGGACUCGCGGCUUAUCAGCUUGAUGGUGGGGUAGUGGCUUACCAAGGCUUUGACGGGUAGCCGGCCUGCGAGGGUGACCGGCCACAUUGGGACUGAGAUACGGCCCAGACUCCUACGGGAGGCAGCAGUGGGGAAUAUUGCACAAUGGGCGGAAGCCUGAUGCAGCAACGCCGCGUGCGGGAUGACGGCCUUCGGGUUGUAAACCGCUUUCGCCUGUGACGAAGCGUGAGUGACGGUAAUGGGUAAAGAAGCACCGGCUAACUACGUG